UUUUGAGUAUAAGUAUAUCCAGUGCAAUAUUUGGGAUAUACUUAUACUAAAA
rnacentral:pre_miRNA from 1 species